rnacentral:misc_RNA from 1 species
AGUCGUAACAAGGUUUCCGUAGGUGAACCUGCGGAAGGAUCAUUACCUAGAGUUUGUGGACUUCGGUCUGCUACCUCUUACCCAUGUCUUUUGAGUACCUUCGUUUCCUCGGCGGGUCCGCCCGCCGGUUGGACAACAUUCAAACCCUUUGCAGUUGCAAUCAGCGUCUGAAAAAACUUAAUAGUUACAACUUUCAACAACGGAUCUCUUGGUUCUGGCAUCGAUGAAGAACGCAGCGAAAUGCGAUAAGUAGUGUGAAUUGCAGAAUUCAGUGAAUCAUCGAAUCUUUGAACGCACAUUGCGCCCCUUGGUAUUCCAUGGGGCAUGCCUGUUCGAGCGUCAUUUGUACCUUCAAGCUCUGCUUGGUGUUGGGUGUUUUGUCUCGCCUCCGCGCGCAGACUCGCCUUAAAACAAUUGGCAGCCGGCGUAUUGAUUUCGGAGCGCAGUACAUCUCGCGCUUUGCACUCAUAACGACGACGUCCAAAAGUACAUUUUUACACUCUUGACCUCGGAUCAGGUAGGGAUACCCGCUGAACUUAAGCAUAUCAAUAAGCGGAGGAA